rnacentral:lncRNA from 1 species
CCCCCCCAAACUUCUAACAUCAGUCCAUUUCCCUUCUCAAACACUCUCGAAUGAGAAACCCUAGCCGCCCCUUUUACCCUCGCCAUCUCCGCCGUGGUCCGUCGACCGGAAAUUGCCUCACAGCGGUGGACCACCUCCAAACUCUACUAAAUUAACAGCAGAUAACCACCAUAACCUCCUCAUGCUAUAUCUAUCAUCGAUUUCUCCAAAAUCUUUACCCAUUUGCUCCAAUUUCAGAUCUAAAACUCUGAAAGAAAACCAAAACCCUAAACUGUCCUUUUCCCUUCGUUUUUUAUGGUUUCAAAGGCUCGAUUUGAGCCAAAGUUUAUGCUAAUCGAUUGUUCUUGACAAUAACAAUUGAUUAGCGUCAGUUUUAGUUUAUUUCAAGACCUGCUGGACUCUGACCAAGCACCUAGUGGCCAGCCAAAGCUCUGAGGCUUACACAGCUCAUGCACCCGCCUCAGUUACCUACUUAAUCUCCUAGUCGUUUGUUCUUCUUUCCCUUUUCUUUUCUGUUUCUACUCAUGUGUUAUUAUUUCUGCAAUACUGUUUUAGGUUUCAAGUCCAUCUUUAUUUUUCUUUUCUUUUUUUAGCUUUACUUGACUACUGCACUACAAUAGAAUUUUAGUUCAAAUUUAGUUGCAUAGUCUUCUAGUUAACAACAUUGUUAUUUAGUCGACCUCUCUUCUUUUAAUUUAGUUUGAACCAAUUUAAUUAAAAUAAUUUCUGUAUUUAGAUUAUUCAAAUGUAUGAUUAGUUAAUUCAGAUUACAAGUUUGUUUAAUUAGCCUUAAGGUUGUGACCACAUGAUGUCUUGGUUUGUUUAGAGGUCUAAUGUGUGUUUGCUACCUUAUUUUGUUAAAUUGGAAAUCAGAAGUCUGAAAUAGUAAUAACAAGAACCUAAAAGGGGGCCAAUUGGGAAAUGAGAUAAGGGUUUGAUAUCAGAAGCUUCUAGAAGGGACUAAUGAGUAAUCAAACAAGCUGAAUUUACGUUAGAAUUGGUGGGGAUUGAAAUAAUCCAGCAAAUGAGAGGGUAAAAUUGGGUUCUAUAUAGGUUAAAUAUCAGAAGGUUCUAGGACUUUGGACAGUUGUCCCCAUGUUUAACAAAAGAUGCUAAAAAGGUUCUAGGACUAUAUAGGUUAAAUAUCAGAAGGUUCCAUUUUUUAUACAUUUUUGUGCACUUUAUAAAAAGAAAAGCACUCACUCAUAUACGUGCUCAUCAGAUUUUCAGAAACCUAAAAAGCACUAAAACGUUCAGCUACUGUUCCAUUGAUAACUGAUCAAUUUCUUUUCUGAUUUCGACCUAAGUUAGAAUAAAUUUUUCUUUUGAAAUUUCUGGGUUCUUGAUUUGCAAGAUGGUAUGAGGUUGAAUGUUGUGAUACGGCUAGUUUUUGCUGCUAGUUUCAUUGGUUUCCUGCUUUGUUCUUACUGUUUUUUCCUUGAAGAUUCACAACCUUAUUCUUAUUCUUUGUAACCAGGUAUAUCUUGAGCCUUAAAUUAUGAAUGAAAGCUUGUUUUGAAGAGUGUAUUGCUUCCAUGGAGUUUUGGAGUUAUAUUUACAUUUUUUGUUUCUUUCUGAUGUUUACUUCCGAGUCAUUCGAAUACUGUUCUUUUUUUGCUUUCUUCUUAUUAGUUUCUGUUUAGUUACAUUAAAGUUUUUGUUGUGUAGAUUCAUGAAAUAGCCAGGAUGUUUAGUGUUGAAGGAUUUGAAUAGCACCUCUUGCAUAUGCUGAGUUUAGGUUAAGUAGUCUAAUUUAAAAUGUUAACUUUCAGUCUUUUCUACUUCCAUGUGAUUCUGUCCAGUAUUUUAAAUUUAUUGUUUGGUAAUAUAUGAGCUUUUCAUGCUUGAGUAUUUGGAUAAGUGCUAGGUAUACUCAAAAUAGCCCAUGAUUGAUGCUUGAGUACAUUUGGUUGAAGUGUUUUAGCACUACUACAGUGUGUAAAAUGAUUGUAUUUUCCUA